rnacentral:rRNA from 1 species
AGUGAACGCUGGCGGUAGGCCUAACACAUGCAAGUCGAACGGCAGCACAGUAAGAGCUUGCUCUUACGGGUGGCGAGUGGCGGGCGGGUGAGGAAUACAUCGGAAUCUACUUUUUCGUGGGGGAUAACGUAGGGAAACUUACGCUAAUACCGCAUACGACCUACGGGUGAAAGCAGGGGAUCUUCGGACCUUGCGCGAUUGAAUGAGCCGAUGUCGGAUUAGCUAGUUGGCGGGGUAAAGGCCCACCAAGGCGACGAUCCGUAGCUGGUCUGAGAGGAUGUUCAGCCACACUGGAACUGAGACACGGUCCAGACUCCUACGGGGGGCAGCAGUGGGGAAUAUUGGACAAUGGGCGCAAGCCUGAUCCAGCCAUACCGCGUGGGUGAAGAAGGCCUUCGGGUUGUAAAGCCCUUUUGUUGGGAAAGAAAAGCAGCAGGUUAAUACCCCGCUGUUCUGACGGUACCCAAAGAAUAAGCACCGGCUAACUUCGUG